GAUGAACGCUGGCGGCAGGCCUAACACAUGCAAGUCGAGCGGAGCGGGGGUCGGGUGAGUAAUACCAAGGUAUAUGCCCGGUCGUGGGGGCUAACGUUCGGAAACGGAAGCUGAUACAAAAUCCUCUUAGAUGAGCCUAGGUCGGAUUAGCUAGUUGGUGAGGUAAUGGCUAACAAAGGCUACGAUCCGUAACUGGUCUGAGAGGAAGAUCAGUCACACUGGAACUGAGACACGGUCCAGACUCCUACGGGAGGCAGCAGUGGGGAAUAUUGGACAAUGGGCGAAAGCCUGAUCCAGCCAUGCCGCGUGUGUGAAGAAGGUCUUCGGAUUGUAAAGCACUUUAAGUUGGGAGGCGGUACCGACAGAAUAAGCACCGGCUAACUCUGUGCCAGCCGCCGCGGUAAUAC
rnacentral:rRNA from 1 species